AUUGAACGCUGGCGGCAGGCCUAACACAUGCAAGUCGAACGAGUGGCGGACGGGUGAGUAAUGUAUGGGAAUCUGCCUUAUGGAGGGGGAUAACUACGGGAAACUGUAGCUAAUACCGCAUACCAUCGGAUGUGCCCAGGUGGGAUUAGCUAGUUGGUGGGGUAAAGGCUCACCAAGGCGACGAUCCCUAGCUGGUCUGAGAGGAUGACCAGCCACACUGGAACUGAGACACGGUCCAGACUCCUACGGGAGGCAGCAGUGGGGAAUAUUGCGCAAUGGGCGCAAGCCUGAUGCAGCCAUGCCGCGUGUAUGAAGAAGGCCUUCGGGUUGUAAAGUACUUUCAGUGGGGAGGCGUUACCCGCAGAAGAAGCACCGGCUAACUCCGUGCCAGCAGCCGCGGUAAUAC
rnacentral:rRNA from 1 species